GCCUAACACAUGCAAGUCGAGCGGCAGCACAAGUGAGUUUACCCAUGAGUGUGGCGAGCUGGCGGACGGGUGAGUAAUGCCUAGUGGAUCUGCCCAGUCGAGGUGUGUGAUAACAGUUGGAAACGACUGCUAAUACCCCAUACGCCCUACGGGGUGAAAGAGGGGGACCUUCGGGCCUCUCGCGAUUGGAUGAACCUAGGUGGGAUUAGCUAGUUGGUGAGGUAAUGGCUCACCAAGGCGACGAUCCCUAGCUGUUCUGAGAGGAUGAUCAGCCACACUGGGACUGAGACACGGCCCAGACUCCUACGGGAGGCAGCAGUGGGGAAUAUUGCACAAUGGGGGAAACCCUGAUGCAGCCAUGCCGCGUGUGUGAAGAAGGCCUUCGGGUAUGUAAAGCACUUUCAGUAGGGAGGAAAGGUUGUAAGUUAAUACCUUGCAGCUGUGACGUUACCUACAGAAGAAGGACCGGCUAACUCCGUGCCAGCAGCCGCGGUAAUACGGAGNGGUCCAAGCGUUAAUCGGAAUUACUGGGCGUA
rnacentral:rRNA from 1 species